rnacentral:rRNA from 1 species
AUUGAACGCUGGCGGCGUGCCUAAUACAUGCAAGUCGAGCGAAGCGGGGACGGGUGAGUAACACGUGGAUAACCUCCUAUAAGUCUGGGAUAACUUCGGGAACCCGGAGAUAACCCGGACACUUAUAGAUGGAUCUGCGCUGCAUUAGCUAGUUGGUAAGGUAACGGCUUACCAAGGCAACGAUGCAUAGCCGACCGGAGAGGGUGAGCGGCCACACUGGAACGGAGACACGGUCCAGACUCCUACGGGAGGCAGCAGUAGGGAAUCUUCCGCAAUGGGCGAAAGCCUGGCGGAGCAACGCCGCGUGGGUGAUGAAGGUCUUCGGAUCGUAAAACUCUGUUAUUAGGGAAGCGGUACCUAAUCAGAAAGCCACGGCUAACUACGUGCCAGCAGCCGCGGUAAUAC